rnacentral:lncRNA from 12 species
GAGGUUGCACGAAGAAGCUCUCACUCACUUCAGGCCACGAAUCAACUGACAGGGGCCGAGAGAAAUGCGAGAAGGGAGACGCCCGGUGUUUCUAGAACCUACCAAAAGAAUAACAAACAGACAAACAAAGAUAAUCAACUAGUACCAUGCGAGGAACCAGUUUGGAGGGCCUUCUCCCCGACCCCAAAUACGCUCAAGGCCCUUAUCGCACGCCCCGUCCCCCCUCCCCGCUCUGCCAAGGACGCGCGCGGAGUCCUUCCCCCUUUUCCCGGCGGCCACAGCGACGACCCACGGCCUGAGCGCGCCGCUGCAGCGCCCGUCCGGUCCGCGCCGGCCGCACCGCACCGCCCCGGCCGCACCGCCCCGCCGCCGCGACAGUCGCCGCCGCCGCCGGCUCCCCGUCUCUUUCUACGGGUCCCGACUGGGCGCCGCUUCCGGCCCGACUCGGCCGCGUGUCACAUUCACAGGACUCCGUCUUGGGGCGCGGCGACCUUGUGCUACAGUCAGAACAGCCCCGGGAAACGGAGGCGGCGGAGAACGGGGUCUGGAGCUGAGCCAAGGCUUCCCUGCUUCUCAGUCGAAGCCCCUGAUUUCUCUGGGCCUCUCUUCCUUAGGGAGGCCAUCAUUCUAUGUCGUGUGGCACUGGUCCCACGACGCCCACGCCCUGCGUUUGAAAUGUUUGGUUUCAGAAAAAGCCCUGCCUGCAUAUCACCUGCCGUCCUCUUUCUAGUAACCUUAGUAACGCCUCCUCGGAGCAUCCUCGCGGAGCGUCUGUCUCCGAUCUGCCUCUCCUCCCCCUUACAUAAAACAGUUCUCAUAAUUAGAACAAAAAUAACUUUCCAUCAUUUCACCGCCCACACAAUAGAUACCAUUCCAAAUGCUGUGCUGGUGGCAGAGGAGCUCAUGGAAUAUCGGAGGAAAGGAAGAACAGGGAAUAGGGGAGAUGGCCCAGGGUCUCGGAUUCUCUGCAGGCAACCACCUGGCACACGUGAAAAGGGAUCCAAAAUAGUUCUUUUUAAAAAAGAAGACAAAGAAAAAAAAAAAAAAACACAUAGCAAAUUUUACAUUAUUUGA